rnacentral:rRNA from 1 species
UCAGGAUGAACGCUAGCUACAGGCUUAACACAUGCAAGUCGAGGGGCAUCAUGGAGUUUGCUUGCAAACUCUGAUGGCGACCGGCGCACGGGUGAGUAACGCGUAUCCAACCUUCCCUAUAGUAGAGGAUAGCCCGGCGAAAGUCGGAUUAAUACUCUAUGUUUUCCGUUGCAGACAUCUAAGAUGGAACAAAGGCUUGCCGCUAUAGGAUGGGGAUGCGUCUGAUUAGGUAGUCGGCGGGGUAACGGCCCACCGAGCCAUCGAUCAGUAGGGGUUCUGAGAGGAAGGUCCCCCACAUUGGAACUGAGACACGGUCCAAACUCCUACGGGAGGCAGCAGUGAGGAAUAUUGGUCAAUGGGCGAGAGCCUGAACCAGCCAAGUAGCGUGCAGGACGACGGCCCUAUGGGUUGUAAACUGCUUUUAUGCGGGGAUAAAGUUCACUACGUGUAGUGUUUUGUAGGUACCGCAUGAAUAAGGACCGGCUAAUUCCGUGCCAGCAGCGGC